AAAGAAGAAACCAAGUACCUGAAAACAAACAGCACAUGUAAUGAUCAUUCAACCUAUAACACAUUAAAUAAUCGAGACCUAUAUCAUGCAAAUAUUUAUAUUAUUGGCAGACAUUAGCACAUGCACUUAUAGAUAAUAUCAUUCCUAAGCUAGCUUGUCGAAAAUAUUAAAAUGAUUGGACGUCAGAACAGAAAAUAAGGUAUCCUCUGUGGUUUUUUGUAUGACACAUAGAAGUGAAGAUAUCCUGCUGGUCAGUACACAUGAUUUUAUUCUAAAAAGCAAAAGUCCAACUUACAGAAAAAUUUAUGCAGAAACUAGAAGUGGAAUUUCAUGUAAGAAUAAAAUUGGACUAAAUAAACAACUUUCAGCAAAUAGGCUUUGUUGUAUG
rnacentral:misc_RNA from 1 species